GAUGAACGCUGGCGGCGGGCCUAAUACAUGCAAGUCGAGCGAACAAACGAGGAGUUUGCCCCUCUGACGUUACCGGCGGACGGGUGAGUAACAGGUGGAUAACCUACCUAUAAGACUGGGAUAACUUCGGGAAACCGGAGCUAAUACCGGUUAAUAUAUUGAACCGCAUGGUUCAAUAGUGAAAGACGUUUUUGCUGUCACUUAUAGAUGGAUCCGCGCCGCAUUAGCUAGUGGGUAAGGUAACGGCUUACCAAGGCAACGAUGCGUAGCCGACCUGAGAGGAGGAUCGGCCACACUGGAACGGAGACAGCGUCCAGACUCCUACGGGAGGCAGCAGGGGGGAAUAUUGGAGAAUGGGCGAAAGACGGAGCCAGCCAUGCCGCGGGUGGGAAGAAGGUCUUCGGAUUGUAAAACACUUUAAGUUGGGAAGAAAAGAAGUAAAAUAAUACCUGGCUGUUUUGACGGGACCAAAAGAAAAAGCCCCGGCUAACUUCGUG
rnacentral:rRNA from 1 species